rnacentral:rRNA from 1 species
UACGAAGGGGGCUAGCGUUGCUCGGAAUCACUGGGCGUAAAGGGUGCGUAGGCGGGUCUUUAAGUCAGGGGUGAAAUCCUGGAGCUCAACUCCAGAACUGCCUUUGAUACUGAGGAUCUUGAGUUCGGGAGAGGUGAGUGGAACUGCGAGUGUAGAGGUGAAAUUCGUAGAUAUUCGCAAGAACACCAGUGGCGAAGGCGGCUCACUGGCCCGAUACUGACGCUCAGGCGCGACAGCGUGGGGAGCAAACGAG